rnacentral:rRNA from 1 species
UACGGGGGGGGCAAGCGUUGUUCGGAAUUACUGGGCGUAAAGGGUUCGUAGGCGGCCAACUAAGUCAGACGUGAAAUCCCUCAGCUUAACUGGGGAACUGCGUCUGAUACUGGUUGGCUCGAGUGCAGGAGAGGAACGCGGAAUUCCAGGUGUAGCGGUGAAAUGCGUAGAUAUCUGGAGGAACACCGGUGGCGAAGGCGGCGUUCUGGACUGCAACUGACACUGAGGAACGAAAGCCAGGGGAGCAAACGGG